GAAGACCCUUCCCUUCGGGGCACUUGUACAGGUGCUGCAUGGUUGUCGUCAACUCGUGCCGUGAGGUGUUGGGUUAAUUCCCCCAACGAGCGCAACCCUUACUAUUAUUUGCCAUCAGGUCAAGCUGGGCACUCUAAUAAAACUGCCUACGCAAAUAGGGAGGAAGGGGGGGAUGACGUCAAGUCCGCAUGGCCCUUACGCCUAGGGCCACACACGUGCUACAAUGGGUACAACAAAGGGUAGCUAAGCCGCAAGGUGGAACCAAUCCCACAAAAGUAUCCUCAGUUCGGAUUGGAGUCUGCAACUCCACUCCAUGAAGUUGGAAUUGCUAGUAAUCGCGCAUCAGCACGGCGCGGUGAAUA
rnacentral:rRNA from 1 species